UAUCAAUAUUCAUGCGAUAACAAAGAUAGCGGCGUCCAUGGAUGGAUAUCCACCGACCCGCCAAUCGGGUUCUGGCUAAUCACCCCCAGCAAUGAGUGCCGUUCCGGUGGACCCGUUAAACAGAACCUGACUUCGCACGUCGGCCCGACCACUCUUGCUGUUUUUAUUAGCGCCCAUUACACGGGAGAGGAUCUGGUGCCGAAAAUCGGAGCCGGCGAGGCGUGGAAGAAAGUCUUCGGUCCUGUGUUUAUCUAUCUCAACUCCACUUACGAUUCUAGCGACGCACUUCAGCUCUGGGAAGAUGGCAAAUCACAGGCAUCGAUUGAAGUCCAAAGUUGGCCAUACAGCUUCCCUGCUUCGGAGGAUUUUCCAAAGUCAAACCAACGGGGUAAUAUCAGUGGCAGACUAUUAGUCAAAGAUAGGUACACAUUUUCCAUUGAAUUUUAUUAUGAAAUU